rnacentral:rRNA from 1 species
GACGAACGCUGGCGGCGUGCUUAACACAUGCAAGUCGAACGGAAAGGCCCUGCUUUUGUGGGGUGCUCGAGUGGCGAACGGGGGAGUAACACGUGAGUAACCUGCCCUUGACUGUGGGAUAACUUCAGGAAACUGGGGCUAAUACCGGAUAGGAGCUCCUGCUGCAUGGGGGGGGUUGGAAAGUUUCGGCGGUGGGGGAUGGACUCGCGGCUUAUCAGCUUGUUGGUGGGGUAGUGGCUUACCAAGGCUUUGACGGGUAGCCGGCCUGAGAGGGUGACCGGCCACCUUGGGACUGAGAGACGGCCCAGACUCCUACGGGAGGCAGCAGUGGGGAAUAUUGCACAAUGGGCGGAAGCCUGAUGCAGCAACGCCGCGUGCGGGAUGACGGCCUUCGGGUUGUAAACCGCUUUCGCCUGUGACGAAGCGUGAGUGACGGUAAUGGGUAAAGAAGCACCGGCUAACUACGUG